UUGGGCUUACGGGACGCAGCAGUGAGGAAUAUUGGUCAAUGGCCGAGAGGCUGAACCAGCCAAGUCGCGUGAGGGAAGAAUGUCCUAUGGAUUGUAAACCUCUUUUGUCAGGGAGCAAAGUCACCCACGUGUGGGUGUUGGAGAGUACCUGAAGAAAAAGCAUCGGCUAACUCCGUGCCAGCAGCCGCGGUAAUACGGAGGAUGCGAGCGUUAUCCGGAUUUAUUGGGUUUAAAGGGUGCGUAGGCGGGCUUUUAAGUCAGCGGUAAAAAUUCGGGGCUCAACCCCGUCCGUCCGUUGAAACUGG
rnacentral:rRNA from 1 species